UACGAAGGGGGCUAGCGUUGCUCGGAAUCACUGGGCGUAAAGCGCACGUAGGCGGAUUGCUAAGUCAGGGGUGAAAUCCUGGAGCUCAACUCCAGAACUGCCUUUGAUACUGGCAACCUUGAGUCCGGGAGAGGUGAGUGGAACUGCGAGUGUAGAGGUGAAAUUCGUAGAUAUUCGCAAGAACACCAGUGGCGAAGGCGGCUCACUGGCCCGAUACUGACGCUGAGGCACGAAAGCGUGGGGAGCAAACAGGG
rnacentral:rRNA from 1 species